GUCGUCGUCGCCACUACUAUCCUCUUCUUCUUUCGUUCACUCGACGCGCGCAGCUACACGAGAGACGAUACGGUAUCGCGCGUAAGGAAGAAACUUUGCUGGCAGCUGUAUACUGUUUAGAAUCGAAGAGAAGAAAAAGAAGUGGAAGAGGAGAAGGAGAAGGAAGAGGAGAAGGAGGCCGAUAAUAUCCCUCUCGAACGUCUCUCUUCCUGUCCCCCUCUGACCCUUCUCUCGAUCCAUUGCUGCUACCUCAUCCCUCUCCCUACCUCUUUCUUACUCGUUUCGUGACGACGUAAAUAAACGAAGGAUCGUUCGACGUCGACAUGUGUUUUUAUCCUCUCGUUCCUUACACACACGCACAUAUUAAUACAGAGAAAGACAUACGUGUAUGUAUGUACACGCGGUUUUAUUUAUCAUAAUAUUAGAGCUGCUAAAAGCGAAGAUCGCAACUAAAGAAAGGAGAGGAAGAGAGAGAGAGAGAGAGAGAGAGAAAGAGAGAUCUAGGGAGCUACUACUCACGCUUCUUACAUAGUCCAUUUUCAUGGUUAUCGCAAGAGUUAGCAAGAAAGAGUAUAACUUAAUCGCACGGGGACGCUUAUCUUCAGAAGACUUGAAACGAGUUGUGAUAAACGAGAGAGGCCGAAGGCUGAAUCAACGUCGAAAUCGCGUUUCGAACCGUAUAAAAGCCGUACGUACUUACGUACAUAUAUAUACAUAUACACAAAUACACACGGUCGCCCGUCGAACCGAUCGAUAAUUUUGGUUUGACCUCUGGAUAACUCGAGCACGUGCGAGAUAUUGGAUUCGCUUUGAGAGGAGGAAACAACAGUGGCAGAGCCGAUUUUAAACACGGAUCAACGUGCCAACACAAUUUUCUUGCCUUUUCUCUAUCGAGAGAGAAAAAGAGAGAGAUUCCUGAUAGUCUCUAGUUUCAUACAACCCACCCCUACGCCCCGCACUUUUCACGCAUUCUUUCUUCUCCCUUCCCUAGAAAAUUCUUAUCAUUUUACGCUUUUACUUUUACCUACCCUUUUCCACCCUUUACAAUUUUACUAACCACCAUUUUUUAUCAACCCAUCUUUACCAUCCUAUUCUAUUUCGCUAUUUCUUUCUUUUCAUCUUUCUCUUGAAAAUGUCCGAUGAAUCAACCUGUUACACAUAGUAUCAAAAAGUAACAUUAUUUCUCCCAUUUUUUUUUAAUAUGGUGAAAUGAUGACGUGUAAUAAUAUUAUAAAUUUUGCGAAUAUGCAUAUACGGAAUCGUACCAACCACCAACCAACCCAACCCACCCCAUCCCGCUUCACCUUUCCCAUUCUCCCCCGCUAUCACCCGAGUCGACGAGUUUAGUUGCAGGAAACAACAGAAGCUACUUGUCGAACCGUGUCCCGUCGUAGAGUAAGUUAACUCCUAUAGAAGGCACAAUAUAUAUGUGUGUGUAUACAAUAUGUAUGUACGUACGUACGUAUGUAUAUAGCACGUUUCCCAUUGCGUGUCACUGGGUCACUACAUUUCGCAUAGGGGCAGACUAACGAUGGGCUGCUGUUUUUUUCUUCUUUUCUUUUCUCUUAUAUUUUUUUUCAUGUUUUUUUUUUUCAUCCUUUACUAUCAACGUAAAUGCAUCUCACGGAAUGAAUUCCUUCCGGUUUCGUCGAGACGGACUAAUCGCCAGACGAACGACGAAAAUGAAUAACUCGUUGUUCGUAAAGUUUGUUUGGGUGAUCAAUUUAAUCGAGAGAGAAAAAGAGAGAGAGAGAGAAAGAGAGAGAGAAUGAAAGAUCAUACCAUCCUAUUUUUUCUCUUUUUUUCUUUUUUCAAUAAUAUUAACGAAAAACACGAAGAUAAAUGACAUAGAAAUCUAAAAUGCCGUUGCAAGUAUUAUGCAGGAAACAAACAUCGGUGUUAUCUCGUCUUGUGUGACGUAACCCCGUGUAACAGAUACGACGCGAUUCGAGAUAGAGUGAAAAGAAAAACAAAGAAAGAAAAAAAGAAACAAAGAAACACGAUUAAAAGAAAAAAAAAGAGAGUGGAGUAACAUAAGAUAACACAGAUAAAGAUUUUAAUCGAUUAGGAUCGAGAUCAACCCGAAGAGAGAGCAUCGUUUUACCUCCUUUUUUCUCUUUAUUUUUUUGUUCUUGUUUUCUUUCUUUUGUUUUGUUUUUCGUACAAGCAUAUAGAGUCGGCUUCAACGUAUGAAUGUAUAUACAGUGUGAAUGUAUAGUAUGAAGUCGAGUCGUACUUCAGGCAAGCCGCCACCGGCUGUCCUUACGUACUCUCGCAUGAUUCUUAGUGCGUCUCGUGACGUCACCGGCGCAAAACGUGGCAACGUAGCGAUAGAAGUACGAGCAGCGUUGCCUGAUAGUACGAAGCUUCUGGAUUGCGUCGUUCCUAGGUCGUCGUCGUCGCGUCGUUGGUCUAUAGUUCGUCAACGAUUUCCGUUAAAAUCGAACUUUGCUGUUGAGUCUUUCGCAAAGAUAUUUACUUCUAUGUAGAUAGAUAAAAAGAGAUGUAUACAUACAUACAUAUAUAUGAUAUAUAUAAUAUAUAUAUAUAUAGAGAGAGAGAAAGGAAAAGAUACGUAAUGCCGUGAUUCAGUUGACGGUAUCGAUUUACUACUCUACUCUACUCUACUCUUCUCUCUCUCUCUCUCUCUCUUUCUCUCUCUCUCUCUUUUCUCCCUCUCCUUCCUCCGACUUUCGAAGCGAUGACGAACCACAAGCAAUGUCGUAGAGAGUGUAGUAGAAACAAGUAAGGAGAAGAGAGAUGUGGAUAGAGACGAUGGCAAAGAAGCAGAAGCAGCGGCAACGGCAAUAGCACAGCAGCAGCAGCAGUCUACCCUUGUGUUUGUUCGGUUCUCAUGGAAAAGCGCCUCAGGAGACUGCGUACCGGGUGGUGUUGUAGUGGUAGUGGGUAGUAGUGGUGUGGUAGUGGUGACGACGACGAUGGUAGUAGUGAUGGAGGUGGUAGUAGCGGUGGUGCAGGAGGGUGUGGCGGGUAGAGGGAGAGAUAAUACCGUUCCGUCACGUCACGGUGCAAGCCGGCCGGAGAAAAUCAAUCCGGUCGUUCACUACUAACCUUCUGGUAGAACCGCGACGACUCGUGCUACUAUCACCGUCGAAAACGUCGCCGCUGCUUCAAGGAUCUCGACGCGAUAUUGACCUGGGGUUGCGUUAGGUUAUUCCCGCCGAGGUUCUUGUACCUAUCGCUCGAAUACCAUCCCGACGACUCUUCCUUCUCUCUCUCUCUCUCUCUCUGUCUCUCUCUCUCUCUCUCUCUCUCUCUCAUUCUGAAUCUCUCAUAUAUAUAUAUCAUGCUUUUCUAGCACGAAUGCAAAGUCGGAUCGUUAGAUGUAACGUUGCUAAUGAGAUUUCCGUUUCGAGUAUCAACCCUGUCCCCCUUUGCUCUUGUCCUUGGCCUCGUAUCGUCGGUACGAACGGCUAGCGACAAACGCGAGGAGAAAAAGCGCGAAGGAUAUUAUUAUUAUUGUUGUUAUUACUAUUACUAUUAUUAUUAUUAUUAUUAUUAUUAUUAUUAUUAUUAUUAUUAUUAUUAAUAUUAUUAUUAUUAUUAUUAUUAUUAUUAUUAUUAUUGUUAUUAUUGUUAUUAUCAUCAUCAAUUCCUGUCCGUUAAUUCGAUUCGUCCGAUUUCAAAUCUUUCUUUUCUUUGUUUUUCUUUUUUUUCUUUUGCAUUCGUUAUUCGUUGCGAAAGCACCGAUGACUAUCGAGCCAAGUAGAGCGUACGUUCUCUUCCUGUUUCUUUCUACGACCCACGACGCCUUUCGCCUUUUCGUUUGAUCAACGUAGAACUUCGCAAAGAUCAUCUGCUUGAUGAAAAUUACUAAUUCUUUUUUAUUCUUUUUCUUUAUUUCUUUUCAUACGGCUAUUAGAUCAACGUAGUUGAGGUUAGUGAUUUUGAAAGAGUUUUAUGUCGUACGAUUGUUCGCGUUGAUCAUCCGCAUUGGUGAACUACGUAUAUGUGUAUGUAAGUACGUACGUAUGUACGUGUGUAUAUAUAUAUAUAUAUAUAUAUAUAUAUAUAUAUAUAUAUAUAUAUUUAUGUAGUAAAAAGCACAACGAACGGACGCUCGUCCGACAACGUCGACCUAAUUCGGUAGGCAACCUACUAGCAACUACAAUACGAUGACGUCACGAAUACGAUGGUCGAUCUCCGUAAGCAGUCACGGCUAAAAACGCGACGCGUUGUCGGUCCGAUCAUACGAGCUGUUGUUACAUUGGCGCGCGACAAUGGCACGGUGUCGUACGUUACAUACGUUACGUUUACGUUAUGCGCUCUGCGAUGUCACGGCGUGACAAUGCAACGUAUCGAGGACGACAACGAAAGGUUUGAGGAGAGGGGAGAGAGAGAGAAAAACAGACAUUAAUAGUUUUACUCGAUAAUAGACAAUUCUCUCAUUAUCAUGAAUUGAAUUAUGUUUCUUGAGUAUGUGUUGUUAAAUCUUUAUACACGAAUUAUUCAUUUUGACUUUUACCACGAGGCAGCCAGAAAAAUCCACCACCACCAUAUCGCCGCCGCCGUCGCAGCGGUUCGCCGCCAUCAUUCAAGAUGGCGUCGUUAAACGUAGCGUCGGGAGAAAACGAAAGUAAUAUAACAGGCAUUGCGCCGCUCGCCGCUCAGCCGCUCGUUGAGAUAGUGGCUUCUUGCGUUGUUGCAUAUCUUCUUUCGAGAGAACGAUUCGAAAGGAAACGAUAACAAACGGCAAUAACGUUCUUUUUCAAUCGUCCUGUCCUUUUUCUUUCUUAUCUUUCCCUCUUCUUUUCUUAUUUUUCGUUCUUUUCUUUAUCCGUGACGCUGACCGGGGGAGGGAAGAAAGAAUGUUACAACUAUCUGUCAUAUAUUCCACCGAGUUUACAGGUGUGUUUGUAAACAAACGCAAGGGAAAGGGGAAGAAGGCAUUAAACGGCAUAUAGUUUGAGAGAGAAAGAAAAGGAUGAGAGAAGGAUGGAAAAUCGAAGACAGCUCUUGCGCUCCUGUUGGGUUUCACGUGCAAACCAACAUCUUGCAUGGCGUUUUGGUUAGGUAUCACCUCGUUUAUCUCUGGGGGAGAAGAGGGGUACGCUCUGCAAAACCCUCCUCUUUUACGCUUCGUCGCUCUUUCUGUCGUCGUCGUCGUCGUCCUCGUCUUCGUCUCUUUCUCCCUAUCCCCCUUCCAACCUCUUCUCCUCUCUCCCUUCAGCUUUUCUCAUGACUAACGUGACGUCAUCUUAUAAGCUCGAAAGAGCGACUACUCCGGAGAGUAGCGGGAAGGAGAAAAGGCACGCAACGUGGCUCGACCAGUCUCACUCCUUCCCCCUCUCUCUCGCCUGACCUCCUCGUCGAACGCAACCAUCCCAUCCACACAUCAACGAUGCACACGCUCGACGACGACGACUCGACGACGCACAAUGACAUCGCUCGCGUGUAGCCGUUGGUUCGACGCUCGGCCGGCUGCUGUUCCCCCUCUCUCUUUCCUGGGCGAUAUUAAAGGAAGAAGCACCUGACGAAACCAGCCGGGUUGUCGAGCAGACGGCCAGGCAUAGGUAGGCUAGCUGGCAGGCAGGCAGCUCGUGUACGUAACGACGUACCUGCGGCAGGUGAAUCGAGUCAGGUGCCUCAACAGAUGGGUGCCUUUACUCAAGGAAGCGUUAUAAAAGCGGUCUAUAUCAUAAAUGUGGGUUAGUAGCGAUGACUAAUCCUCUCAAUGAUAGUGAAAUAUUUUAUCGUUUUUCUUUUCUUUGUGUGCGCUUGUGCGCGCGCGUGUAUGGGUAUUUUUAUGCGUGAAUACGCGCGUUUUAUAUAAAAAAAAGCUUAAGUCAUAUAUAAAUAUAACACAAUAAAUACAGUACAUACAGUACAAAUACAAUAUAUAUAAAGUACAUAUGUAUAUGUAUACACAUUGUACUUUGUACGUAUAUGUAUAUGUAUAAAUAAAUAAAUAAAUAAGUAUAUAUAUCCUUUGAAUUACGCCCACUUUUUCGACAAAUCAAUUUUAUAAGAAUUCAUUGAAUAUUCAAAUAUUCGAAUAUCGGAGCAUAUUCGAUUUUAAUAAUAAAUGAAGUUCAAGGAACGAUGAAAGAAUCAUGAGAGUCUAAAGCAUGAACGACCGAUAAUAAAUUCGUAUAUUUAAAAUUAUUCCGUUGUCUUUAAAGGUGUUUACCAAACGCGAAUAAUAUAUACUCAUUCUUCUUCUACUUCUUUUAUUUCUUAAGUCUGUUUUCCUUUCCUUUUCUGUUUUGUUAUUGUUUUUCUUUUUUCCUUUUCACAAAGAGAAAGAGAGAGAGAGAGAGAGAGAGAGAGAGAGAGAGAGAGAGAGAGAGAGAGAGAGAGAGAGAGAAAGAGAGAGAUAGAGAGACACGUGGUACUAGACACAUGUAUGCACUAGACCGAAUGCAUCAUGAGUUAUGAGUACAAACAAGUAUUUGCAGUCACGUGUUAGGAAUGGGAUAAUGAAAACGUGACGCGAUUAUGCAUUCUUCCUGUGCUGUCAUUUCUCACUUGCUGGAUGAGUGGCUCUCUCUUAUUCCCCCCUUCUCUCUACAUAUAGCGAAACAAAGGUACCGGUCUGGGGUCCGUCCGUUCGUCUGUCCGUCCAUCCGUCUGCCUGUCCGUCUGCCGUUAAUCGCGCGUUUAUUUGCAAUGUUAUACAACUUCUUUUGUUUUUGUUUUUUUCUUUUACGAAAUAUAUAAUAACGGUUACAGAUGGACAGAAAUAAAUAAAUAGAUAGAUAGAUAGAUAGAUAGAUAGAGAGAGAGAGAAAGAGAAAGAGAGAGAGAGAGAGAGAGAGAGAGAGAGAGAGAGAGAGAGAGAGAGAGAUGACCAAUCACUUGUAAUAGGUUUCUAUUUUUAACCUGACUUUUUUCAUGUUUUGCUGGCACCUUUUCACGUAUCAGAAAAAGUUAACGGUAAGAAGAAACAUCACCCAGGAAUUAGAAUCUCUAAAGUACUGUACUCUCUCUUUCUCUCUGUCUGUCUCUCUAUCUCUUUCCCUUUUGUACACAUUAAAGGAGAGUAAAUUUCUCGUGGUACUCUUCGCAACGAUGCUAUUUGCGAAAUCAUUUCAUUCGUACUCUUUCUUUCUUCCCACAUCGAGCGGAGCAAGGCUGCGGAUUCAAGGUCAACUUCUUCUUCCUUCUUUUCUUUUGCAUCUCUUGUAAAAGGUGAAUCGUCA